UCGAGGGGCAGCAUGAACUUAGCUUGCUAAGUUUGAUGGCGACCGGCGCACGGGUGAGUAACACGUAUCCAACCUGCCGAUGACUCGGGGAUAGCCUUUCGAAAGAAAGAUUAAUACCCGAUGGCAUAAUUCUUCCGCAUGGUAGAAUUAUUAAAGAAUUUCGGUCAUCGAUGGGGAUGCGUUCCAUUAGGUUGUUGGCGGGGUAACGGCCCACCAAGCCUUCGAUGGAUAGGGGUCCUGAGAGGAAGGUCCCCCACAUUGGAACUGAGACACGGUCCAAACUCCUACGGGAGGCAGCAG
rnacentral:rRNA from 1 species